UGGGGAAUUUUGCGCAAUGGGCUAACGCCUGACGCAGCAACGCCGCGUGGAGGAUGAAGGUCCUUGGAUUGUAAACUCCUGUCAGCAGGGAAAAAGCGACUUAGCCUAAUACGCUAGGGAGUUGAUUGUACCUGCAGAGGAAGCCCCGGCUAACUCUGUGCCAGCAGCCGCGGUAAUACAGAGGGGGCAAGCGUUAUUCGGAAUUAUUGGGCGUAAAGGGCGCGUAGGCGGCUUGGCAAGUGGAUGGUGAAAUCCCUCGGCUUAACCGAGGAACUGCCAUCCAGACUGCUUUGCUUGAGGCCGGGAGAGGUAAGUGGAAUUCCCAGUGUAGCGGUGAAAUGCGUAGAUAUUGGGAGGAACACCAGUGGCGAAGGCGGCUUACUGGACCGGUUCUGACGCUGAGGCGCGAAAGCGUGGGGAGCAAACGGG
rnacentral:rRNA from 1 species